AUAUCAUUUUGAGGAAUUCUAACAGAAGUUUCUAUUGGUAGUGUAAGUUGGGUAAAGUGUCUUAUUUUUUUAAAGUAUUUAAAAGUAAAAUUACAUGUUAAUACGUAGUAUUAAUGGCGAGACUCCUGAGGGAGCAGUGCCAGUCGAAGACCGAGGCUGAGACGGCAUCCUAGGAAAGCGAAGCCAUUCAAUACGAAGUAUUGUAUAAAUAUAGAACAGCAG
rnacentral:ncRNA from 1 species